rnacentral:rRNA from 1 species
UACGUAGGGUGCGAGCGUUGUCCGGAAUUAUUGGGCGUAAAGGGCUCGUAGGCGGUUUGUCGCGUCGGGAGUGAAAACUCACAGCUUAACUGUGGGCGUGCGGGCGAUACGGGCAGACUAGAGUACUGCAGGGGAGACUGGAAUUCCUGGUGUAGCGGUGGAAUGCGCAGAUAUCAGGAGGAACACCGGUGGCGAAGGCGGGUCUCUGGGCAGUAACUGACGCUGAGGAGCGAAAGCGUGGGGAGCGAACAGG